rfam:Salmo salar isolate Sally breed double haploid chromosome ssa09, whole genome shotgun sequence.
UGCAUUCACUACUGUAAGUCGCUCUGGAUAAGAGCAUCUGCUAAAUAACUAAAA